AAAUAAAAUAAGUAUUUUUUAAUUUUUUAAUCAAUACACAUCAGAAAAGGGACCUUAUUCUUGCUAGAAGUAGAGUGAAAUGUUGCAAAAAAAAAAAAAAUAGCUCUUGGAGCUGAACAGCUCACGUGUGAAUCCAAACUCCCUCACCUAAAAGCUGUGUGAUGCCCUGUGGUUCUUGAGGGCUUCAUUCACAUUGGCAUUAGGCACAGAAUAUUACCAGAUGCUGUUUGAGUUUGAAGGUUUAUAAAUUAUGGUCAAAUGGUGCCCCGCCCCCCCAAAAAAGCAUUCAAUUUGAAAAUACUUUUGCAAUAAAUGAGAUGCUUGUUUAUAUUAUUUUAAGCAUCCUUCAUCUUUUAAAACAUAGAUCGAGUAUUAUUAAAUAUUAAUAUUCAAUUAAUAAAGAUAUACCCUUCCUGGCAGUCUUUAUUCAUCCAUAAGUCUUGUCAGAUUUCUAGGGCUGUUCUCUUCAAAUUAUUCUCAAAGGGGGAAGUCUUUGUUUUCCUAGACUUUGCUGCCCCCUUUUGGAAACUAAGUACGCUACAGAAAUCAGAAUGUUUUGAACAAAGCUCUUCACAGAUCAGUUGUCUUAAUCCAGCAGUUACCGUCAAAGAGUUAUUUGCUUGAAAAUAUGUCUGCCUACUCCCAUGCCUCGACUUUUCUCGCACAAUUCUUGGCACCAAUAAUCUGUAUGAAUUGAUUCAGGGGUCAGCUUUCACAUCAAGUCCUUUGGCACAUGUGCCCCCUUGAAGUAAGCAGGUGCUAGGGGCAGGAUAAGCAGCCAGUCCACGGUCUGCCUGAGUGAGGAGAACGUAGAGGGAUGAGCCUGUUGUCAAAGAACUGGCAGGAGCCAGUCAGAUGAAGAGAGGCCCACCAACUUUUCUAAAAACCACCAAUUGGAUAUGCAGUCAGUUCAGGAAACAGCAAGAGAGGAACUGAGGUGGGCAUGGUGACGCACACUUGCAGUGCAAGUGCUAGAGCGCUGAGGCAGAAGGAUGUCCAGUUUGAGGUCAGUUGGGGCUACUGGAUGACAUCUUGUCUCACAAUAGAAUAUAUUUCUGUUGGUAGAGAGCAUGUGUGGCCACUGUUUUCAGUCCCUGGGUUAUGUAUUUUUAAAAUAUGUAAUUAUUCUACAAUACUGUGAUGGUCUGUAUAUGCUUGGCCCAGGGAGUGGCAUGAUUGAAAGGUGUGGCCUUGUUGGAGUAGGUGUCUCACUGUGGGUGUGGGCUAUAAGACCCUCACCCUAGCUGCCUGAAAGUCAAUAUUCUGCUAACAGUCUUCAGAAGAUGUAGAACUUCCAUGCCUGCCUGGACACGGUCAUGCUCCUGCCUUGAUGAUACUGGACUAAACCUCUGAACCUGUAAGCCAGCCUCAAUUAAAUGUUGUCCUUAUAAGAGUUGCCUUGGUCAUGGGAUCUGUUCACAGCAGUAAAACCCUAAUUAAGACAAAUACCAAGACCAAAACUCAACUUCAGCACUUAAAAGACUGGAACACUAAAUGUAUCCAUUGGUGAUAUCAGCUUGGAGUCAAACCAGUGCUAGCUGAUUACAUGCCACUUCUCAACCUCCCAGAACCCUUUCUCC
ensembl:lncRNA